rnacentral:rRNA from 1 species
CACCAGACUCCUACGGGAGGCAGCAGUGGGGAAUAUUGCACAAUGGGGGAAACCCUGAUGCAGCGACGCCGCGUGAGCGAUGAAGUAUUUCGGUAUGUAAAGCUCUAUCAGCAGGGAAGAAAAUGACGGUACCUGACUAAGAAGCCCCGGCUAACUACGUGCCAGCAGCCGCGGUAAUACGUAGGGGGCAAGCGUUAUCCGGAUUUACUGGGUGUAAAGGGAGCGUAGACGGCUGUGCAAGCCAGAUGUGAAAGCCCGGGGCUCAACCCCGGGACUGCAUUUGGAACUGUGUGGCUGGAGUGUCGGAGAGGCAGGCGGAAUUCCUAGUGUAGCGGUGAAAUGCGUAGAUAUUAGGAGGAACACCAGUGGCGAAGGCGGCCUGCCGGACGAUGACUGACGUUGAGGCUCGAAAGCGUGGGGAGCAAACAGGAUUAGAUACCCUUGUA